rnacentral:rRNA from 1 species
GGCGGCAGGCCUAACACAUGCAAGUCGAGCGGAAACGAGUUAACUGACCCUUCGGGUGACGUUAACGGCGUCGAGCGGCGGACGGGUGAGUAAUGCCUGGGAAUAUGCCUUGAUGUGGGGGAUAACCAUUGGAAACGAUGGCUAAUACCGCAUAAUGCCUUCGGGCCAAAGAGGGGGACCUUCGGGCCUCUCGCGUCAAGAUUAGCCCAGGUGGGAUUAGCUAGUUGGUGAGGUAAUGGCUCACCAAGGCGACGAUCCCUAGCUGGUCUGAGAGGAUGAUCAGCCACACUGGAACUGAGACACGGUCCAGACUCCUACGGGAGGCAGCAGUGGGGAAUAUUGCACAAUGGGCGCAAGCCUGAUGCAGCCAUGCCGCGUGUGUGAAGAAGGCCUUCGGGUUGUAAAGCACUUUCAGUCGUGAGGAAGGUGGUGUAGUUAAUAGCUGCAUCAUUUGACGUUAGCGACAGAAGAAGCACCGGCUAACUCCGUGCCAGCAGCCGCGGUAAUACGGAGGGUGCGAGCGUUAAUCGGAAUUACUGGGCGUAAAGCGCAUGCAGGUGGUUCGUUAAGUCAGAUGUGAAAGCCCGGGGCUCAACCUCGGAACUGCAUUUGAAACUGGCGGACUAGAGUACUGUAGAGGG